UAGGGAAUCUUCGGCAAUGGACGAAAGUCUGACCGAGCAACGCCGCGUGAGUGAAGAAGGUUUUCGGAUCGUAAAACUCUGUUGUUAGAGAAGAACAAGGACGUUAGUAACUGAACGUCCCCUGACGGUAUCUAACCAGAAAGCCACGGCUAACUACGUGCCAGCAGCCGCGGUAAUACGUAGGUGGCAAGCGUUGUCCGGAUUUAUUGGGCGUAAAGCGAGCGCAGGCGGUUUCUUAAGUCUGAUGUGAAAGCCCCCGGCUCAACCGGGGAGGGUCAUUGGAAACUGGGAGACUUGAGUGCAGAAGAGGAGAGUGGAAUUCCAUGUGUAGCGGUGAAAUGCGUAGAUAUAUGGAGGAACACCAGUGGCGAGGCGGCUCUCUGGUCUGUAACUGACGCUGAGGCUCGAAAGCGUGGGGAGCAAACAGG
rnacentral:rRNA from 1 species